AACCAACUUUAUUAACAACUGACAAAACAAACAGAAAAUAUGUCAAGAUGGCAUUACAAGACUCACCAGGAGGCCAAUAAUAUCAGCAAGGGCACAUGAUGCUGGCACUGGAGAAGACAGGAGUUGUGCAGGUGACUCUCAAGUCAGAUCUACUUGGUUGGGACAGCCGCUAAGACCAGAAAGGACAGGUCGUGAGGAUGAAAACUGAAGUCAAGUGUUGCAAAUAAAAACCUGCUGAAUGUAAUACCUGAAUCACCAUUGAAAAGGGCUCCUUGUGACAGGUGAAAUAGUGUAGGAACCAAGACAUGGAAUAACCAAAAAUUCCUUCAUAGAUUUAAAAAAAAAAAAUACCAAUGUUUGUCCCAACAUGCUUUUGAAAAUGAUAUUCCAACUUGUACAA